UACGGGGGGGGCAAGCGUUGUUCGGAAUUACUGGGCGUAAAGGGCUCGUAGGUUGCCAGCUAAGUCGGACGUGAAAUCCCUCAGCUUAACUGGGGAACUGCGUCCGAUACUGGAUGGCUUGAGUUUGGGAGAGGGAUGCGGAAUUCCAGGUGUAGCGGUGAAAUGCGUAGAUAUCUGGAGGAACACCGGUGGCGAAGGCGGCAUCCUGGACCAACACUGACACUGAGGAGCGAAAGCCAGGGGAGCAAACGGG
rnacentral:rRNA from 1 species